rnacentral:rRNA from 1 species
AUGGCGUCCUCUCUGAAGAUGGCCGCCGCCAUCGCUGUUUGCGUCAUGCUCGUCCUGAACAUGGGCCACCCGGUGGCAGCCACAGAAUGCGAAAAUUGUCUGGGCCAUUGUGUCGCCAUUUGCAUCGCCUACGCUGAAACAUCGUGCAGUGGCAUCUGCAAUGCCGCACCUCCACGUCCUGCAUGCCAGACAUGCAAGAACGCGGCCUUAAUUCAGUGCGGUGGCACAUGUUAUGGUGGUUGUACCCUCUUCUGCUAG